GAUGAACGCUAGCGACAGGCUUAACACAUGCAAGUCGCGGGGCAGCAUGGGGCUUGCUUGCAAUCCUUGAUGGCGACCGGCGCACGGGUGACUAACGUGUACCCAACCUGCCCUUCACCACGGGAUAACCCGGCGAAAGUCGGACCAAAACCGUACGCUGGCCAUUUGCGGCGGCCGGUUUGGUCGCAGCGCUUAGCGGUGGGGGCUGGGGAUGCGUGCGAUUUGCUUGCCGGGGGGGUAACGGCCCGCCGGGGCGAUGGUCGGCAAGGGUUCGGGGAGGAACGUCCCUCACACUGGGACUGGGACCCGGUCCAGACUCCUACGGGAGGCAGCAGUGAGGAAUAUUGGUCAAUGGACGUAAGCCUGAACCAGCCAAGUCGCGUGCAGGAUGACGGCCCUAUGGAUUGUAGACUGCUUUUAUGCGGGGAUAAAGGGACCCACGUGUGGGUUUUUGCCGGUACCGCAUGAAUAAGGACCGGCUAAUUCCGUG
rnacentral:rRNA from 1 species